GGGACUCAUCUCUCCGAUUGCAAAGACCAAGACAAGCCACACCACCUUCAUCGCCAAAGCGGGGAUCUGCUGGGGCACAAUUUGCAAUCUAAGGAAAACCCCCAAAGGCUACAGGAGACCUGCUGAUCAGAAAAGAAUUUCGCUCUUGUCAAGUACAUCAUCCUUCAUGACCACUAACUUUGUUUUUUUUUUUUUCUUCUUCUGUUGUUCUGUUUCCUAUUUCGCCAGGAAGUAUUUCCAUAGUUGCUGAGAAUCAAAGCACAAAAGAAAUCCCUACCUAUGUAAAUGUUUGAAUGGAGGACGCCAGUAAAAACAAACAAACAAAAAGUAAAUAAAAAUAAAAACAAUCAAAAUCCAAAAUAACAAGUAAACACUCUCACUGCAUCGGAACUUUUAAAUUCUUCAGACACAGACAACAAGGGUUUUUAGCUUUAAGCCUGUGCAUGUGGACAAUACUUUGAGAACGUGUUUGGAGGGGCAGUGUACAGGUGCUCUAUUUUAAUGGAAAACACUCCCCUCCUUUCU
rnacentral:lncRNA from 1 species